rnacentral:rRNA from 1 species
AUCCGACUGAGUGGCGAACUGGUGAGUAACACGUGGGUAACCUGCCCAGAAGAAGGGGAUAACACCUGGAAACAGAUGCUAAUACCGUAUAACAACAAGAACCACAUGGUUCUUGUUUGAAAGCUGGCCUUUGUGCUAGUGCUUCUGGAUGGACCCGCGGCGUAUUAGCUAGUUGGUGAGAUAAUAGCUCACCAAGGCAAUGAUACGUAGCAGACCUGAGAGGGUAAUCGGCCACAUUGGGACUGAGACACGGCCCAGACUCC